rnacentral:rRNA from 1 species
CUCAACUGUUUUAGAAGAGAAGCAUUUAUUAGAUAAAAAACCAAUAUAUGUUUUUAAAGCAUAAAAGUUGGUGAUUUACAAUAACUAAGCAGAUCGCACAGUGCAAACUGGCGAUAAAUCAUUCAAGUUUCUGACCUAUCAGCUUUCGACGGUAAGGUAUUGGCUUACCGUGGCAGUGACGGUUAACGGGGAAUUAGGGUUCAAUUCCGGAGAGGGAGCCUGAGAAACGGCUACCACAUCUAAGGAAGGCAGCAGGCGCGCAAAUUACCCAAUUCUAACAGCAUAAGAGAGGUAGUGACAAGAAAUAACAGUACAAGGCAGUUAAAAUGCUUUGUAAUUGGAAUGAUAGAAAUUUAAAUACUUUUUAAAGUAUCAAUUGGAGGGCAAGUCUGGUGCCAGCAGCCGCGGUAAUUCCAGCUCCAAUAGCGUAUAUUAAAAUUGUUGCAGUUAAAAAGCUCGUAGUUGAAUUUUUGCUAAAAAUAACCGGUCUGCUUUUAUUAAUAAAAGUGGUAUCUUGGUGUGUUUUUAGCAAUAAUGUCCUUUGAAAUGUUUUUUACUUUAUUGUAAGAGGCAAUUUUCAGGAUUUUUACUUUGAGAAAAUUAGAGUGUUUCAAGCAGGCUAACGUUUUGAAUACUGCAGC